AUACCUGACAGUAACUAAGGCAUGGACCCAGGGAGAGCAGUCAGUGUUACCGUGGAGAUGUUGAGCUGAUACUGCAGAGGAGACGCAGUGAAAAGCGGAUCUUAAUGAAAAAAUAAAUCAUCACCGGAUCCCUGAUACAGCUCUUCUCUCCUCAGCUCUGCGUAAAGUGACCACAGAUGCAUUGGACAUGUCCCAGAACUGUCACAAAGGUGUCUACCGUUCAAGUAGUCCGCACGCAACAACAAACCAAUCGGCACUGGUCCCUGCGGCGUGUGUGUGCGCAGCGGGCGGACGGAUACGGACGAAUCGCAGGUUUAUCAAGGAGUAAACGUGCCAGAAAACCCCGCCACCGGAGCGCAGAGCCCGAGGAAACCGGCGCCGGACCCGGGUUCCUGCAGCCUUUCUCUUCACCUGACCUCCAGAGGAGGACAGUCUCAGGACUGGAAAUUUGAGAGUGACAGGUCCUGGUAUACAGCAUGUGUUUGUGUAUACAAUGUGCCUAUGGACAUGGAAAGGUCUAAGGAACUUCUUGACCUUGUGAGGGUGCUCUUCUCUCUCUCUCGACUUCCUCCUAUAUGCAGAGCCCUUCUGCAGCAGAAGCUUCUAAUAAAGAACGAAAAAGACAAAGUGGGUCUCAACCUUUCUUUUAUUUAAGAAGAAUUUUCACAACAUUACAGGUAACUGCAGUCAUGGCAAAGAAUAUUUGCACCCAUGUAUUUCUGUCAGAUAACGCACCAGUUCUCAGAAUUCAUUGGUGAUCUUCAGAUUUCAUAACGUCACACCCACAGUCAAGACAUUUUGUGCCUGAAGCAGCAGAGCAACCCCAGAACAUCAGUGAACCUCCACUGUGUUUGACUGUAGUGACAUGUAGUAACAGUAGAAUGAUGUGCUCAAACAAACAGCUCUAGUUCAGUCUUGUCUGUCCACAGGACAUUGCCCCAGAAGGACUGUGGCUUCCUCAGGCCAGUUUUGACAAACUCCACUCUGGCUUUUUUAUGUUUCUGUGUCAGUAGUGGGCCCCUGGGUCUCCUACCAAAGCAUCCCUCGUCAUUCAGACGGAGAUGGUGUGAGCUGACACUGUUGCAACCUGUGUCUGCAGGUCAGAUUGAAUUUCUCUGGAAGUUGAUUGAGGUUUUUUUAUCCACCAUUCGAACCAUCCUUUGUUACAAUCCGUCAUCUAUUCUUCUCUGUUGCCACGUCCAUGGAGAUCAGCUACGGCGCCAUGGGCUGUAAACGUCUUAACACACAGGAACAGCCAGAUCUCUGGAGAUGGACAUGGAACCUUGAGACUGUCUGUUUACUCACAUUGAUAUGGGUACCACUAGCAUGUCUGUUUGGUGUUCCUGUCUGUCACUGUCCAGGUUCUCUCUCAUGUAUGAACUUUGUUUAUCACUGAUCUCAUCAGUUACUCAGUCCUUAUUUGCUGUUUGCCAGAGUUUAUGGCUUUCAACUGUUCCCUUAUCUCUGUCUACUCCUACAUCAGUCAGUGGAAUGGUGCUCAUUGAAAAGACUGUUUGUACCUACCUCAGUCUUACUUGCUUGGACACCGAGAUGUGUAAGACUGGGUUUGAAAAUACCUAUCUGCAGUUCUGAGAUUACUUGCAAGAGAAUGCUGACCUGGAAUCCGGCGAAUCAGAAAACAUUACUUGUACCUGCACCCUAUGUGCUACCUUGUGUGUGAAAACAUGUACCUACAACUUAACCUGAGUUUCCUGUUAGAUGCAUAACAGCGAUUACAGCUAUCCCAGGCUGCCUGAGUGUAUCUGUUUCGCCAUAUCCCUGUUUACCUGUGUAAUCACUUACCUUUUAGUUUUAGCCACUCUUUGUCCGGUUUGUUUCUGAUAUCCGCUGUUUGGUUUAUUUACUUGUAACCUGCACUGCACCUGUUUGCCAUUGUAUAGACUGAGUUAAUAGAGGCCUUGUAUUCCUCAGCUCUGUUCCUUGUCUCGUUUGCAUCUCAGUCCUAAAACUGAAAUCCUCCCAUAUUUGUGUUAUACAACCUACAAUAACCAGGUCUUUACAGAUAUUUCAUGAUACAGUAACUAAUAAACUAACAUCCCCAUCCUCAGUUUGGAGGAUGGGGACAAUGCCACUGUUGAACUGUAUCUGCAUUAUACAGAUAAUUUCUGUUAUAUGGCUAAGUUUUACUAAUACAAAUAGUGUGGACAAAAACAAACAUCUGUCAGUGCAAUGCAGUUCACACACUAAAUGAUGUCUUACAAUACCUCAGAAUAGAACAGCUGCGAAAGGUUUAAGGUCCCGCUGCUAUCACAGGGCCGACUGAGCUAUGUUAAAUGCUAACAAAAAUAAAAUAAGAAACACAUGAAUUUAUCAGUCUUUAUUUGGUUUUAGGCAUGUUGGAAUGUGAUGAAGGAAGGAGAACAAAAUUUCAGCCCAGACAUUUGGGUAGAGCAGCCUGUAGACACAUAGAGACCAAGCUGUUUGGAUUUUGCUGUAAAGUAAUGUGUGUUCUGUCACUGCCAUUUAUUUUUAAUAAGUAACUUGGUCUAGUUUACCCCGGUG